rnacentral:rRNA from 1 species
AACGUAGGAGACAAGCGUUAUCCGGAGUUACUGGGCGUAAAGGGCGUGCAGGCGGUCUGUUAAGUCUGUUGUGAAAGUUCCCGGCUAAACCGGGAGAGGUCGACGGAUACUGGCAGACUAGAGGACAGUAGAGGCGUGUGGAAUUCCGGGAGUAGUGGUGAAAUGCGUAGAUAUCCGGAGGAACACCAGUGGCGAAGGCGACACGCUGGGCUGUACCUGACGCUAAGACGCGACAGCAUGGGUAGCGAACGGG